rnacentral:rRNA from 1 species
UACGUAGGGUGCGAGCGUUAAUCGGAAUUACUGGGCGUAAAGGGCUCGUAGGCGGCCAACUAAGUCAGACGUGAAAUCCCUCAGCUUAACUGGGGAACUGCGUCUGAUACUGGAUGGCUUGGAUCCGGGAGAGGGAUGCGGAAUUCCAGGUGUAGCGGUGAAAUGCGUAGAUAUCUGGAGGAACACCGGUGGCGAAGGCGGCAUCCUGGACCGGUAUUGACGCUGAGGAGCGAAAGCCAGGGGAGCAAACGGG